GCGGCGGACGGGUGAGUAACGCGUGGGUAACCUACCCUGUACACACGGAUAACAUACCGAAAGGUAUGCUAAUACGGGAUAAUAUAUUUGAGAGGCAUCUCUUAAAUAUCAAAGGUGAGCCAGUACAGGAUGGACCCGCGUCUGAUUAGCUAGUUGGUAAGGUAACGGCUUACCAAGGCGACGAUCAGUAGCCGACCUGAGAGGGUGAUCGGCCACAUUGGAACUGAGACACGGUCCAAACUCCUACGGGAGGCAGCAGUGGGGAAUAUUGCACAAUGGGCGAAAGCCUGAUGCAGCAACGCCGCGUGAGUGAUGAAGGCCUUCGGGUCGUAAAACUCUGUCCUCAAGGAAGAUAAUGACGGUACUUGAGGAGGAAGCCCCGGCUAACUACGUGCCAGCAGCCGCUGUAAUACGUAGGGGGCUAGCGUUAUCCGGAUUUACUGGGCGUAAAGGGUGCGUAGGCGGUCUUUCAAGUCAGGAGUGAAAGGCUACGGCUCAACCGUAGUAAGCUCUUGAAACUGGGAGACUUGAGUGCAGGAGAGGAGAGUGGAAUUCCUAGUGUAGCGGUGAAAUGCGUAGAUAUUAGGAGGAACACCAGUUGCGAAGGCGGCUCUCUGGACUGUAACUGACGCUGAGGCACGAAAGCGUGGGGAGCAAACAGGAUUAGAUACCCUGGUAGUCCACGCU
rnacentral:rRNA from 1 species